rnacentral:rRNA from 3 species
UUAAAUUGAAGAGUUUGAUCAUGGCUCAGAUUGAACGCUGGCGGCAGGCCUAACACAUGCAAGUCGAACGGUAACAGGAAGCAGCUUGCUGCUUUGCUGACGAGUGGCGGACGGGUGAGUAAUGUCUGGGAAACUGCCUGAUGGAGGGGGAUAACUACUGGAAACGGUAGCUAAUACCGCAUAACGUCGCAAGACCAAAGAGGGGGACCUUCGGGCCUCUUG